rnacentral:rRNA from 1 species
GGCUGGAGAAGGUCCCAAGGGUUGGGCUGUUCGCCCAUUAAAGCGGCACGUGAGCUGGGUUCAGAACGUCGCAAGACAGUUCGGUCCCUAUCUGUUGUGGGCGCAGGAAGAUUGAAGAGACCUGAUACCAGUACGAGAGGACCGUGUUGGACGAACCGCUUGUGUAUCUGUUGUGCCGCCAGGUGCAGCGCAGAGUAGCAAUGUUCGGCAGGGAUAAGCGCUGAAAGCAUCUAAGCGCGAAGCCUACUCUGAGAUGAAUCUUCCAUCCCGGCAUAGCCGGGUAAGGGUCGCAGAAGACUACUGCGUUGAUAGGCGGCAGGUGUACGUAUGGCAACAUACUCAGCCGAGCCGUACUAAUUACCCGUGAGCUUCCUUUUU